UUUGUUUUCUUUUUUUUUUUUCCUUGUAGAUUUGGAGAAACACCUUUUAGAAGAAGUAUAGAAUCUCCUUCUGCCUGGAAGUCCCCGUGGUUCUUUAAUACUUUUCUGCCAGGCCCAAGAGUUGAUACAGACAUCACAAUUGAGGUACUAAACAUUCUGAGAGAUAGUUGUUUUGCACCUUUGAGUGGGUGCUUUUAGCUGUUUCUUUCCCUUUUUUUUUUGAGUUUGGUCUUGAUGGCUGAAGUAUUACAGGAUAUUGAGUAUCUUAUGAGCCCUGGCGACAGAAGCUACGAUGCUCUUGGGUUGAUGAAGCAGUUGAGUGAGCAUACUGCUUCAGCAUUUGCAAAUGCACAGGAAGUUUUGGGGGAUGAAACUCCUGAAACCAUACUGAAAAAAAGCAGCAAAAUCCUGAAUGCUGAUAAACAGCAGAACGACCUUUUGAAAUGUCAACAGGAGCAUCAUUCAACCGUGGGAUCAAAUGUCAUGGUAUGGUUAAAUUCCAAUAUUGCUGAUGAAAUUAUCCCUUAAAAAAAAGGUGUGGUUUAAGAAAGUUGAAAGCAUCUACCAACUUUUGAGUUUUUUGUCCACUCCACCACAAAAUAAAACUAUCCUAAGCUGGAGCCUCUGCUCUGUAUAAUCCAUCUUCAGAUUACUGCUUCAGCUGUCUUGGUAUUCUCUAUUACAUUUUGGUCAGAUACAAGAAGCACACUUGUCUUUACUGCAUGCAGCCUCUAGAUUCAACAGGAGCAUGGAUAGUACACUGUUAUUUGUCCAUUUCAAAAGCUUAUAUUGUAUACACUGGCAUUUGCAGACGGAGUGCCGAACACUCGAUUUUAGUGAAUGUGGGACACCUGGAAAAGGAGUGGAGACUGGGAAAUUGUCAACAGGCGUUAGCUUCUCAAGUCCCUCUUCGUAUCUGUUGAAAGGUUGCAGGUAAUGGUAGCACUUGCAGGUUCCUGCAGAAGUGUAUAGUGGCAUUUGCUGACAGAGUGGAGAGCUCUUGAUUUUAGUGCUGUGAGACACCUGGAAAAGGAGCAGAAACUGGGAAAUUGUCGAUAGCCAUUAUAUUCUCAAGUCCUCUUUGUAUCUGUUGAAAGGUUGCAGGUAGCAGCAGCAGCAGCUGGCAGGUUGUUACAGCAGUGCUUGCUGGUGUAUAAAGUUGAAAGAUGUACACAGUCGUGAUUCUACCAUUCUAUAUAGUUCCUAGAACCAUAUCUUGUUAAGAUUAAUGUAUUUUGUGAAAUCAAUUGUUAAAGAAUGUUCUUUGGCGUCCAAUAAACAAUGCUUGCACUUGAGUUAUAUGGACAAACUUCAUCUUGAAUAGGGACAACAAACAGAUAUUGCUUUGUCUUUUCCAGUUCUAUUUUGGGGCUUGUCUGCCUGUGGUAAUGUCAGGUUUCAGCUACAAAUUGUCUGUCCUUAUAUUGCCUUGUCCAUUGUGUCCCUUGCCAUAUUUGCAGCGGUUGAAACAAAUCCUAACGUGGCUGCUUGCCUCUGUCCAAGUGUUGGUUCGGUUUCUAACUCCAGUUAGAAAAGCCUAACAUUGCCACGCAUCAGUAAAUAUCACCCAUUUUUUUUCCCCCUUUUUUUGCUAGACACAAUCUUUAUAUUCCCUCUGUCCCAUUAAAAAUGUCAUAUUUUUCAUUUUGGUUUGUCCCAAAAUGUUUGUCACUUGCCACAAAUGAUUGUGUACUUUAUCAAUAAUUUCCAAAGCUUACCCCUGUCUCACCUGACUAAAAAGUAUCCAAAAAGUCUUCUACCAAAACUUGCAACUUUGUUGUUCCGUUGAUUGAGAUGCACGCACUACUAACCAUUUUUAAAUGAUUGUCUUUUUGUGUUUUCACGCUCUAAUUCUAGCUAGAAUAAGUCAUGUGAACCAAUAAAUAUAUGGACCCCGCUGUCAUUUUUUUCCAUCUAUUAUCCAUCUUUUUGUGUUCAAAUGAAGGGCAAAAUAGAAAGUGCUGAUGAAUUCUUAAAAAAUUAGACACUGUUGAUAAUAAGUUGUCAAUUUUCGGGACGGAGGGAGUAAUUAAUUAUAGUAACAGUUGGAGUUUAAUUAAAUAGCAUGCUUAAAAAACAAAAAUGGAAAAUGAUUCUUUAUAAACGGUUAAUCAUACGUGAAUGGCAAACACCAAGAUCCACAAAGGGAGGUAAAAGGAUUUGCUAGAGCUUACUCUCUUUAGCAAAAGAAGUUGUGAUUAAAACUGUCAUUUAUAUUAUAUUAUGUUUGUCUUUAAAAAUAAAAGUAAUGAAAAGAAGUUUCUUAAGUUGAGAUGGACUUGUGUAGAAAAACAGUCAAAUAACAAGCUCAGUCAUACUCUUUAAGAAAACAGCAGCACAAAGAUCUUCGUCAACUUCUGUGGUAGGAAAAAAUUGGCCUCAGAUGCCAUUUCAUUUGAUUGUAAUAUGUAAAGUAGAUAGGAUUAAUUAAAAUUAUAAAUGAUGAAUUCAAGUUAUAUACUACCCUUGAGACAUAUAGAUGCGACAUAUAGAAACUAGAUGAAUCUCGUAGAGACAAAUUUUUUAAAAGAUAGAAAAAUAAUGUUAGUCAUUAUUUGGCAAAAUUUGACACGCAACUCAUUUAAGAAUGUUACGUGAAAAUUAAACUAUAUAUUAUAACUAGCAAGAGAGGUACAAAAUAUUCUUGGAGACUCUACGCAUUAUUUAUAAAUGCUUUGUAAAGGCUAAUUUUAUGUCGACGGAGAAAACAGGCGAGGCUUUCACAUAACACAAAAGAAAAGAGAACAAAAAAGAUCCCCUUUGGCCAUUGCAACAUGACGUCAUCCUAAGCAAGGGACCAACCUGUAGAGGACUUGAAGCUGCACUUUAGUGGAAGGUUAAUUUCUUCGAAAUUGUUGGUCUUUCAGUGCAAUAUGGUCUAUGGCUAUGUUGCACAUUCAAGAAGAUGAAAGAUCUAGGAAAGCUUAAUCAUAGAAUUUGUUUUGGGGGUUUUAUUUUUGUGGGGUUGGAGGAGGGGGGGGGGGGGGGGUUCUUGUUUUCCUAAAUUCUUGAACUUGAGCUGCAAUCAAUCCAAUGGGAUUUUGCUGAUCUAGUAAAUGUAAAAAAUACUAGCUUUGAUUCAUGAGUUUCCCCACAAAUUUUAACUUUCAUCCACAUGUAGCCAUUCGAGAUAUCUGAAGAUCUCUGCUUGAAUUUGCUAAAAAAUUUCUAGUAAAUGUGAAACACCAAUACUGCUAGAAAAUCUAGCUGAAGUAUAGGCCGCAAUUUCAGUCCCCAAGAAAGGGCUUGAGACCAAAUAUGGAAUGUGUUAAAAGACGCUACUAGUCCAGUCACUUUCCAAGCAUGUACUUAAUUCUCUUUGCCAGAUUGUUUUCCAGGGAUUUUCAUCUGGUUGAAACUUUCACUGAACAUGGCAAGUAAACACCACAGAAGCUGCACAUCAAGAAAACAACUAUGCCAUUGCAAUUUUAUCGCCCAAAAAUCGGUUUGAGUUAUGAAUACAGAAGACUUUUUUUUUUUUUUUUAAUCAAAAACUGAGUCAGACUAUUACUCUUUUAAUUUCUGCCGUUCUUGGGGUUAUUAUUAUUACAACAAAAUGGGGUUUACAUAGUAACUUAAGGGGAAGGAUGCUCAAUAUAGACGGAUGGUAACCACUCUUUCAGGCAACUUUUGUA
rnacentral:lncRNA from 1 species